rnacentral:pre_miRNA from 1 species
GAUUUCAGCUGAAAAAGUCAUCAACAACAAAGUUGUAUAACUCAUCAAGAUUUAUAAUUUCUAUUUUGGUCAUUUCUUCAUCCAACAAAGUGAUAGUAACAUUUUCACAAAAUUUACAGUUUAUAAAACUAUAUUAGAGAUAUGUACAUUUUGUGAACAAUUUUACAAAUCACUUUGUGGGAUGAAGAAAUGAUAAAAAUAUAAGUUAUAUAUAUUGAUGAGUUAUACAACUUUGUUAUUGAUGACUUUUUCAGUUGAAAUC